CCUACGGGUGGCAGCAGUGGGGAAUAUUGGGCAAUGGGCGCAAGCCUGACCCAGCAACGCCGCGUGAAGGAAGAAGGCUUUCGGGUUGUAAACUUCUUUUAAGAGGGAAGAGCAGAAGACCGUACCUCUUGAAUAAGCCACGGCUAACUACGUGCCAUCAGCCGCGGGAAUACGUAGGUGGCAAGCGUUGUCCGGAUUUCCUGGGUGUAAAGGGCGUGCAGACGGGAAGACAAGUCAGAUGUGAAAUCCCGCGGCUCAACCGCGGAACUGCAUUUGAUACUGUUUUUCUUGAGUACCGGAGAGGUAAUCGGAAUUCGUGGUGUAGCGGUGAAAUGCGUAGAUAUAAGGAAGAACACCAGUGGCGAAGGCAGAUGACUGGACGGCAACUGACGGUGAGGCGCGAAAGCGUGGGGAGCAAACAGGAUUAGAUACCCCUGUAGUC
rnacentral:rRNA from 1 species